UACGAAGGGGCGAGCGUUGUUCGGAAUCACUGGGCGUAAAGGCGCGUAGGCGGCCCUCUUAGUCGCGUGUGAAAGCCCCGGGCUCAACCUGGGAACGGCGCGCGAAACGGGAGGGCUGGAGUUCGGGAGAGGAGAGUGGAAUUCCCAGUGUAGAGGUGAAAUUCGUAGAUAUUGGGAGAACACCGGUGGCGAAGGCGGCGACCUGGUCCGAUACUGACGCUGAGGCGCGAAAGCGUGGGAGCAACAGG
rnacentral:rRNA from 1 species